GAUGAAGAACGUAGCGAAAUGCGAUAAGUAAUGUGAAUUGCAGAAUUCAGUGAAUCAUCGAAUCUUUGAACGCACCUUGCGCCCUUUGGCCAUUCCGAAGGGCAUGCCUGUUUGAGUAUCAUGAACACCUCAACUCUUCAAGGUUUUCCAUGAUGAGCUUGGACUUUGGGGGUCUUGCUGGCCUGUGGGUCGGCUCCUCUCAAAUGAAUCAGCUUGCCGGUUUUUGGUGGGCAUCACAGGUGUGAUAACUAUCUACGCUUGUGGUUUUCCACCAGGGUAACCUUCAGCAGUGGAGGUUCACUGGAGCUUACAAAUGUCUCUCCUCUGUGAGGACAGCCCUUUGAAUGUUUGAUCUCAAAUCAGGUAGGACUACCCGCUGAACUUAAGCAUAUCAAUAAGCGGAGGA
rnacentral:misc_RNA from 1 species